AUGCUUUGCGCUAACAACUACAGCUUAACAGGUGUCUUCUUACCCACUGUCGCGCUGCAUCACCUCACCUGCAUUUCGGUCUUCUUUGCCUUCGAUGUUCCUGCACUACUGCAAGGCGAUGCCGGCAGCUCAGCCCCACACCCGCACACUCCAUCUUCUCCCCAACGCUACUCGUGGCCCUCCCGGCCUUCCAGUCCUACUUCUACGACGAACUCAUGUCAUCUCUGCUCAACUGCUCGAACUCUCUGCUCACCUGUACAUGCUUUUCCAGUUGUUUGUGUUAAUGCCAGUAAGGCUGAGUGUUGUAGAGAUGGCUCAUGCAGUGUUGCAACAGUCAUUGCUCAUGUCGCCGGAGCUCUCGACAACAGUUUUUUUACGUUUGAUGUUUAUUAA
rnacentral:rRNA from 1 species